CUGAAAACCAUUAUUGAUUUGAGAGCUUGCUGCUUCAAUGACUGGCCUUCCUGUAAAAGCCAGAAGACCUAUCUGCUGGACAAAUUCAAAAAGAGCUGUAAGCACUUGAAGACAUUUUAAAGGGCAGUAAAGCUUAACACAUCCAAUAGGACAAUGAAACAGUUCAGCAGAAGAGAAUAUGGACAGUCAUAUUAAUGGCACAGCGAUGCCACAGCUGCUGCCUGAAGACAGAAAACAGGACACAGUCAAGUUAUAUGACUCAUCCUGAUUUCUCUGUAACAUUAAAUAUGAAAAAUAUAUGUAAAAUAUAAUUAUGGUAUAUUAAAAGAACUAUAACAAUAGGAAAGACA